GGAAAGAUGAAAAGAACUUUGAAAAGAGAGUUAAACAGUACGUGAAAUUGUUGAAAGGGAAACGAUUGAAGCCAGUCGUACCGGUGGGUAAUCAGCCUUUCGGCGUGAUUAUGUGGAGCGUGAGGAGUCAAACGCCCUCAUGCCUGCAUAUUCGUGUUCUUUGGGUGUACUUACCCGCAUGGUAGGUUAACAUCAAUUUCGAACGUCAUAAAAUGGUUGGAGGAAUGUAGCUUCGAUCUCGUAUUGAAGUGUUAUAGCCUUCGGCAGAUGUGAUGAUCGGGAUUGAGGAUUGCAACGGAUACCCCUCGGGCUACCCGUCUGAUCUCUGAAAGUUACUCUGGUGCCGAAAGCUCGCUUACGGUCAUCAAAGUUGACGUUCAACAGAUUAGAACGGGAUAAAUUCGUUAAGGAUGUUGACGUAAUGGCUUUAAACGACCCGUCUUGAAACACGGACCA
rnacentral:rRNA from 1 species